GAUGAACGCUGGCGGCGUGCUUAACACAUGCAAGUCGAACGAUGAAGCCCAGCUUGCUGGGUGGAUUAGUGGCGAACGGGUGAGUAACACGUGAGUAACCUGCCCUUAACUCUGGGAUAAGCCUGGGAAACUGGGUCUAAUACCGGAUAGGAGCGUCCACCGCAUGGUGGGUGUUGGAAAGAUUUAUCGGUUUUGGAUGGACUCGCGGCCUAUCAGCUUGUUGGUGAGGUAAUGGCUCACCAAGGCGACGACGGGUAGCCGGCCGGAGAGGGUGACCGGCCACACUGGGACUGAGACACGGCCCAGACUCCUACGGGAGGCAGCAGUGGGGAAUAUUGCACAAUGGGCGCAAGCCUGAUGCAGCGACGCCGCGUGAGGGAUGACGGCCUUCGGGUUGUAAACCUCUUUCAGUAGGGAAGAAGCGAAAGUGACGGUACCUGCAGAAGAAGCACCGGCUAACUACGUG
rnacentral:rRNA from 1 species